rnacentral:piRNA from 1 species
UGAGUAGGGAUGCUCUUGUGGAUAUUUAU